CAGUCGCCGCGGUAAUACGUAGGUGGCGAGCGUUGUCCGGAAUUAUUGGGCGUAAAGGGAGCGCAGGCGGACAUAUAAGUCCAUCUUAAAAGUGCGGGGCUCAACCCCGUGAGGGGAUGGAAACUGUAUGCCUUGAGUGCAGGAGAGGAAAGCGGAAUUCCCAGUGUAGCGGUGAAAUGCGCAGAUAUUGGGAGGAACACCAGUGGCGAAGGCGGCUUUCUGGACUGCAACUGACGCUGAGGCUCGAAAGCCAGGGGAGCGAACGGGAUUAGAUACCCCCGUAGUCCCUGUCUCUUAUACA
rnacentral:rRNA from 1 species